GAUCACCGAAGCAGCAGGAUGUGAGCUGCCCCACUGAAAAAGGGGAGCAUUGCUAGGUGAAUGUUCACUCAGGCUGCUGUGCCAGUGGAGUAUGCAAAAACGGGGGUACCUGUGUGAACCUGCUUAUCGGAGGCUUUCACUGUGUGUGCCCUCCUGGCGACUAAGAGCAUCCCUACUGCGAAGUCAGCACCAGGAGCUUCCCACCCCAGUCCUUUGUCACCUUCCGAGGCUUGUGGCAGCGCUUUCACUUCACCGUCUCCCUUUUGUUUGCCACCCAAGACAGGAAUGCCCUGCUGCUGUACAAUGGCCACUUCAACGAGAAGCAUGACUUCAUUGCCCUGGAGAUUGUGGAGGAACAGCUGCAGCUCACGUUCUCGGCAGGAAUCUACCCUCUAGAAGAAAUCAGAGUACAAGAAAAUGACGUUGUUGCAGUGGGGAUAGAGAGAUGGCUAGUUCCGCGGUUAAGAGCACUUGCUGUUCCUGCAGAGGACCCCGGCUCUGUUCCUACCACCUACGUGGCAGCAUACAACUGUUCAUAACUCCGGUUCCAGGGUAUCCAAUGUCCCUUUCUGUCUUCUGAGUGUACCUGGCACGCAUAUGGUGCACAUGGAAG